GGUCUGGUGGCCGAGUGGUUAGGCAAGGGUCUGCAAAACCCUGUAUACCGGUUCGAUUCCGGUCCAGACCUCCA
rnacentral:tRNA from 1 species